CCACUUAAAAACUGGGUCGCUUGUUUUCUUGUUGAAUUUUAAGAGUUCUUUCUAUAUAUUGAAUACAAGACCUUUAACAGAUCUGUGAUUUGCAAAUAUUUUUUCCCAGUCUGUGUCUUGUCUUUUCAUUAUCUUAACAAUGUGUAUCACUGAGCAAGGCUGGAAAUUAGGUAGUGUCAGUCCUCUGGCCUUGUUCUAUUUCAGCCAAUGCAACUGUGUUGGCUUUUAUGAGUCUUUUACCUUCCCACACAAACUUUAGAAUUACUUCGUUGAUAUCCACAAAGCAACUUGCUGGGAUUUUGAUUGGGAUAGUUUUGAAUCUAUAGAUUAAGUUAGGAAGAAUUGACAUCUUAACAAUAUUUAGUCUUCAUAUUCAUGAACAUGGAUAUCUCUCCAUUUAUUUAGAUAUUUGAUUUCUUUCAUCAAAGUUUUAUAGUUUUCCUCAUAUAGAUUCUGUACACAUUUUCUGAGAUUUAUACCUAAACAUUUCAUUUAGGUAUAAAUAUUUCAUUUAUUUGUGCUAAUGUAAAUGUGUUAUAUUUUUAAUUUGAAAUCCCAUUUACUCAUUGGUGCUAUAUAAGACAGCACUUAACUUUGCCUAUUACUCUUGUAUCCUGCCACCUUGCUACGAUGGUGUAUUAGCUUCAGGAGUUUAUUUUCUUGAUGCUUUGAAAUUUUCUACAUAGACAAUCAUUUCAUCUGCAAAGAAAGUUUUAUUUCUUCCCUCCCAAUUUGUAUGCCUUUUCUUUUCUUAUUGCAUUGACUAGGACGUCCAGUAUGAUAUUGAAUAGGAGUGGUGACAGGGGACAUUCUUACCUUUUACCCAAAAUUAAGGGGACAGCAUCUAGUUCCUCACCACUAAGUAUGAUGUUAGCUGUAGGUUUUUAAAAAAUUUAUUUUUAAUUUUUGUCGGUACAUAGUAGAUGUAUACAUUUAUGGGUGACAUGGUUUAGUUCUCUAUCCCCAUCCAAAUCUCAUGUUGAAUUGUAAUCUCCAGUGUUGAGGAAGGGACCUGGUGGGAGGUGAUUGGAUCAUGGGGGAAGAUUUUCCCCUGGCUCUUCUCAUGAUAGUGAGUGAGUUCUCAUGAUAUCUGAUUGUUUAAAGUGUAUAGCACUUCCCCUUCACCCUCUCUCUCUCUUUCUCCUGCCACCCUGUGAAGACAUACUUGCUUCCCAUUCACUCUUCAAAUUUACCUCCUACUUGAAAUGAAAGACAAGAACCCUCAGGACCCGAAGAUGUAUGCUCAGCAGUAUGGGAAGUAUGUACUCAAAGUUCCUCUAAGUGUGUGAGAGGAUGAAGAGCAUAAACCACUGCAGAAUCCUUUCCCCUUGAAGAGCUAAGUUUCUCCCAGGAGACCCCGUCAGGCAACAGGCAUAUGGUUCAGACUCCUCCAUCUUAUGGCCUGUUCCCCCGCUGCAGACCUUCACUAAGCACUGGCUCUGCACCAGGAGUGUGCGGGGCCCUGGCAUGCAGGGGCCCCAGGCCAGCCCCAGCCCUGCUCUGGAGCUUAUGGUCAGUCUAGGGUUGCAAUUGUGGCGGAUGCCUUGGAGGGAGCUGACUGGGAGUUGAGCACAGAGGGAGGAGCAAAGACCUCCUUCAAAUAGGGUCAUGGCCGGUGCCUGCCUCCUUGGAGUAAGUAGGUCCCCAGCAAGCAGAGGCAGGAACCCGCAGUCACGCCACCCUGGCAGAGUUGUUCUGACCUUUGCCUAGAGCCUCGGUGCUACCUGUGAGCUGGGAUAGUGAUCACAUUCACUUCUAAUAUGAGCUGGUUAAAAGCACAUUAUCAUUGGCCAGGUUUCUCAAUUGCCAAGAGAUGACCUAGUGCUUGUUUAAUACCAGAAAUGAAGCUCAGCAGCAGCUCUUGGGCUGUCCUUCAGCGGCCCCUCACAUGCCCAGGUGUGACCUUCUGGUUAGGGUGGCCUAUGUCACCUCCCUCUCACCUUCUUGAUGUCCACACAGUGCACCUGCUUUUGUCUGCCAUGGGGGAGAGGAGGAGAGGCAGAUCCUUCUGUGCCCUCUGCUCAUGACCUUUUCUGCAGUGGGGUCCGAGGGUGGGCUUAGCUCAGGGACUGGAUGGUGUGUCCUCUCCUAAGCUUAACUUGGCUCUGGGUUCCUUUGUCUUACAGAUGGAACUUAACCAGAAGAAGCUAAGGAAGAGAAGAGAGGAGAGGAGAGAGACAGUGAAGAGGCUGGAAAAGGAGGAAGAGAAGUAUGUUCUUUGGAAUCAAAGUGUUACCUGGAUUCCUACCCAGGAUUUUCCUAUUGUCUCAGGACCUAAAGGGAAAAGACCGGCCAUGGGGCAUGUGAGCCUCUGGGAAAUCUGCCUCAAGCCCAUAAUGCCAUCCGUCUACAGCAGUUGGAACAGUGUAAGAGUCAGACCUCGCCAGAUCCCAAGCGCUGCAACAUGAAGAACAAAACCAAGGUUAAGCCACAGACCAGGCCCCGUGGAGAUUUCGCUGCUUCUAGCCUGACCGUCAGGAUUUGGGUCCUGACCGCUCCCCUGGCUGUUGGGCUGGUCCCAGCUCUGGGCCUCCGUUUUCUCACCCACAGAAUGGGGACGAUACAGGACCUCCCUCAUCAGAGCUGUCACAAGUGGUAAGUGAAUGGGUUCGUGAGAAGCUCUGCAGUGCCUGGCGCAGACCAAGGGCCCCACCGAUGGUGGCUGUGAGUUUUCCCACUAAUGUAUUUUUUGAUAUGUAACAUUUUAAAAUAAAAUUUUCUCUUUUCUUUUUUCCUUCUCCUUUUAGAACCUCAAUUUCCUGAUUCCCUAAGCUCAUGUCUGGUGCUGACUAUUAUCUUAGUGCUGAACUCAAGCUUUCCUCAUAGCUCCUCAGAGCAUUUGAGAAUAACUGGGUGUUUCUGCACCCACAACAUAUUUGUAAAACCAGUCAGGAUAUAUGGUUCAUGAAGCAUUAAUAGAAGAUGUGGUUCUCAAACUUGAGUGGGGCUCAGGGUCCUCUGGGGGGCUUGUGAACACACAGAUCAUGGGUCUCCCCAAGGUCUCUGAUGUUGGAGGUCUGGAUGGGGUCCAAGAGUUUGUUUUUCUGGCCAAUGCCCAGGUGGCCAGAACCACUUUUGGGAACCACACUUUGAGAACCACUGGCACAUAGUAAGGAGGCCUCUUCCAGAGGCCACCAGGGAAGUCACUGUCCUGGAAGGUAAAGAACAUUUGUCCAGGGGAUGUGUUAAUGAAAAGACUCAGUUCUGGGCUCCUGGAGCCAGGUAGGAGAUGAGAACAGACACAAAAGAACUUAAGAAUAAGAAAAUAAGACCAAAGGAGCAUCAAGUGCUUCAAGAGUGCAGCAGUGAUUUUGUUCCAGCUGGGGCAGGAAAACCUGGGGAGGCUCUGCGGUGAGGAACCAUUUGGGCUGGGCGUUGAUGGGUGGCUGAGCACUGCUUGGCGCCUGGCCCUGCAAGUGCGAUGUGGUGGGUCCUGUGUCCCACCUUGAAUCUGUGUCCUGUCCUUGAAUCUGGUGGCUUGUGGCUGCUUAAACCAGUCAGCAGGGCCAGUGCACACUAAUGCCUUGGGUACAAUGCCCAGGGCCUAUGCUUCUAAU
rnacentral:lncRNA from 1 species